UGGAUUAUGGCAGCUCAAGCUCACAGAAGAGAGCUCGAGGCUCUGUACAUUCAACACUCCAUUUGGGAGGUACCGAUUCAAAAGGCUACCGUUCGGAAUCGUCUCAGCCUCAGAAGUGUUUCAAAAGGCAAUGUCUGACACAGAGGGCGCAGUAUCUAUCAUAGAUGAUGUUCUGAUAUGGGGCAAAGAUUUACAAGAACACAACGAACGACAUAAAAAAGUUUUAGAUAGAGUAAGAGAAAACAAUCAAAAAUUGAGUCCUGAUAAAUGUGAAUUCAGAAGAAAUCAAAUAUCGUAUGUUGGACA
rnacentral:lncRNA from 1 species